AACAGGAUUAGAUACCCUGGUAGUCCACGCCGUAAACGAUGUCGACUUGGAGGUUGUUCCCUUGAGGAGUGGCUUCCGGAGCUAACGCGUUAAGUCGACCGCCUGGGGAGUACGGCCGCAAGGUUAAAACUCAAAUGAAUUGACGGGGGCCCGCACAAGCGGUGGAGCAUGUGGUUUAAUUCGAUGCAACGCGAAGAACCUUACCUACUCUUGACAUCCAGAGAACUUGGCAGAGAUGCCUUGGUGCCUUCGGGAACUCUGAGACAGGUGCUGCAUGGCUGUCGUCAGCUCGUGUUGUGAAAUGUUGGGUUAAGUCCCGCAACGAGCGCAACCCUUAUCCUUUGUUGCCAGCGAUUCGGUCGGGAACUCAAAGGAGACUGCCGGUGAUAAACCGGAGGAAGGUGGGGAUGACGUCAAGUCAUCAUGGCCCUUACGAGUAGGGCUACACACGUGCUACAAUGGCGCAUACAAAGAGAAGCGACCUCGCGAGAGCAAGCGGACCUCAUAAAGUGCGUCGUAGUCCGGAUCGGAGUCUGCAACUCGACUCCGUGAAGUCGGAAUCGCUAGUAAUCGUGGAUCAGAAUGCCACGGUGAAUACGUUCCCGGGCCUUGUACACACCGCCCGUCACACCAUGGGAGUGGGUUGCAAAAGAAGUAGGUAGCUUAACCUUCGGGAGGGCGCUUACCACUUUGUGAUUCAUGACUGGGGUGAAGUCGUAACAAGGUAACC
rnacentral:rRNA from 1 species